rnacentral:lncRNA from 1 species
CAGAGAUGGCAGCGGUUCUGAGGCAAGAGUACUGAAAUUUGCUUUAUAAUUUACUUGAUUAUCCAAGUUGUGCAUUUGAAGAAACACAUCCAUGUUUCCGUAGUGCUUAGUGCUAUGGGUGAAAGAAAUCUUAAAGUCAAGCAGAGAAGAAAAAAAUAAAACCCACGCAUACCUCAGAAAAGCCCAAUUCAACUCCUAACAUCACCCAACCACCCCAUCCCAGAAGAAUGAAACCAUGGAGCACAACAGGUAAUAUCAGUUUUCACACCUCUGCAUCCCCUUUUAGGAUGCUCCGGGAUAUUUUUCCUUGUGAAUUUCAGUGAACGAUUCUUUUCUAUAUUAAACUUGGUUUACU